rnacentral:snRNA from 2 species
UGAGUUCGGCCGUCUUUGUUGUCGUUCUACCGCAGUAUAUUCCUAGACUCUGUGUAGGUCCUAUGGGCCAGUUGUCACUUGGGUAAAACCAUACUGC